ACUGAUCAGUCAGUAAUACCUAGUUUGAGUUAGCAGUCAAUUGGGAUUUAUUACAAUAGUUCUAAAAAUAGAUCGAAUCAGGGAAUUUUAUUUGGAUAAAUGGAUAAUGAAUGCUCCUAACGCAAUUGAAUAUUAUAACACAAUUUGUGAUCGUCACGUAUCACGUAUAAACCAUUGGCCGUUAUUAUCGCUUAUCUUACUUAAGACACAUUAGCAUUCUUUGAAUAUAGAAGAAACUUUUUACUUUUCAAGAGUCUUCACUUCAAUUCACUCACUAUCAGACAACCAUAACGGAACAAUAUCCGACGUUAGCCGUUUUCUGAUCUGUAUUUCUUAACGGCAAUAUUGCCUAUUUGCGUUUGAUUACUCUUCAACACUUUCGAAGACAACAUGGGCAAUCCCCGUAAGUAUUCAUUUUGAUACAUUUUAUUAUUUUAGUGAUCAUACAUACAUUCCUCCCACCUUUUGUUUUUGUUGAUGGCCUCCGUAACCGCUAUUAAAAGUUUACCUCCACCACCACUACUUUGCUUUUGUUGGUGUCGUCCAUGUUUGUUAGACCUUUCUUAGUAAAUAGCUGUUGGAUAAACCGUAUCCUGAAUUUAUUCCAUCGAACAAUACCGACCGGAUCGAAUGCAAGUUAGCGGCGUGCGCCCCGACGACUUUUUUUAAACGCGCUUAGUGUAGUCUUUAUUUUUUUGUCUUUUUAUGGGCAUUUAACCGUUAAACCAUCAGUCAUCG